UAGAAGAGUCUUGAAGCAGGGUAUAACCAAUACUGUUGGGGCUGUUGAGUUGCAUCUGACUUGCACCAUCAAUCUUCUUUUAUAUGACUGGUACCGUGAUUCCAUCACAUUAUUACAUGUCACCUGUGGAAUUGGUGAAU